CUCCUCCCGAAUCUUCCUCCAGAAGUUACUGGCCACCUGUGUGCCACACAUCCAACUUGCCGUUGUCAUUUGCAUCACCCACACAAUGGUGCUCUCGGGGCUGCAGCACUGCCCUAGGGCGGUAAAUAUCAAAGGAACGUGUUUGAGUGCUGGGAAGGCUGAGCUUUGCUUAAAAGAUGCUCCCCAAAUGCAGUGACUUAAUGAAGACGGCAGAGUGGCUUUCCUGCGUUGGUCCUGAGGGAACCGUUGAGUGUAGCGGGCAGUUCUCCUCCAGCUGGUGACUCAGGGAUUCAGGAUCUUCCUUUCACCAUAUCUGUGACUAGUGACAGCAAUAAUCCCUCCUGUACAGAUGGUGUUUUUUAAUUUUAAAAAGCACGGACAUUUUACAAAGGCCAGGGAUUCCAUGAGCUAUUUAUUAUUAUCCCACUUAUGUAGAGAGCAAGAUUCGAGCUCAGACACGGUCAGCAAGCAGACCAGCCUCCACAGCCAGAAGGAGAGAGCUGGGAGCUGCAGCUGGUACGCAGGCCCUCUGGCUCUAGGUCCUGUUGCUUUCCCCUAGUCACACAGCUUCUGAUGGCAGGUCGCAGGUUUAAAAGCCUGCCUUUUCAUAACCCCGGUCGGUGGAACGCACCAGCGGGUGUUUUGGAGGCUCAGAGCAUCUCCUUGGUUUCUGGAACUCUCUUCCCUCUCCCUGGAGCUUUUCCAGUGGGCUCGGCAGCCCCCUCUGAUAGGUAUUCAGGAUCCUGCCAAGAACCUUUCAAAUGUUCCAUAGGAAAAGGCCAGGCCCGUUCACUGGGCUCCACGCUGGCCAGAUACCGCCCUCUUACAUGCUGUGUAGAAAUAAAACACGAAGGUGACAAGCAGCUUGGAGAAGUUGAAAUGUCAGCGCGACACUCUGAAGUCUCCUCCGAGCAUGUAACUCGGAGAUGGGAAAGGUUGCCCAGAAAGCAAACUGUUAGAUAGGAACUGAGGGAAGGUUCCUCGUCUGGGUUCUCGGAGCCAGCAGCUCCAGGAGAGGCGGCUCUGAUGCCAGGAGCCCACCCCGACUCUCAGGCAAGCUCAGUGAGUGCUGCGCGGCUGGCUCCCCCGCCCCCCGUGCUCUAGCCUUGCCAAGCCACUUGUGGAUCCUGGAAGCUCUCGCCCCUCACCUCUGGCAUCCCCUUCCUGAAUGGCCUCCUGCCCUGCUGUUGGCUCAGCACCACUGGGGCAGCCUCCCCCAGACCUGGAGCUCCCCAGGGACAGAGAUUACAUCUUGCGACCCCCAAGGGCCUAGCUAGGGUUCUGGCACAGAGGAGCUCAAUCAAUAUCUAUCCAGUGAACUAACACCACUUCCUGGAGCUCAGGGUUCUGCGUGAACCAGAGGCCAAGCCUUCAUGUCCUUAUCACCACCUGCUGGGAGCUUGAAGAAGAGGCCGCCUGGACAUAGGUGGCAGAGGUGUUGCCAUGGGAAGGCUCGCCCUGGCUCAUGGGUCUCCUCUUGGAUUUGACUUCUCCUAACUUCCCAGCCUUGACUUUGGCCGUUCCUCUAUGUCCACCACCCUCUGUUCCUCCCAGACCUUAGAAGGGGCCCUGCAGGUGAGGAGCCCUGGAGCACAGGAUCUGCCGGCCUCACAGAAAACUCGCCGUAUUGAUCGUCAUGUCUGAAAAUGCUGGAACGGCAGCCCCGGAUCUCUGAGCCAAAGUGCUGUGUGAACUGUGAAAACUGUCUACCCCGUGUGGGAGGCGGAGAUGGCUUCCUAUUUUAAUCCUCUCCAAGACUCCAAAGGUUAGUGGUUUAUGUAGAUCAAACUGCAGGGUCGCACAGGAGCCCUUUGCAGACACUCUUGGGGGGCUGCCUGGGGGAGACUCCUUUUCAAAGGGGCCUGGGACCCCAUGAACACAUGUUCCCAACUUGGCAUCUCUUCCAGCAUGAGAACCUCAGCUGCAAGGAACCUUAGAAAGUCCCAAUUCAUGGCCAGGCGCAGUGGCUCAUGCCUGUAAUCCCAGCACUUUGGGAGGCUGAGGCAGAUGGAUCACAAGGUCAGGAGUUCUAGUCCACCCUGACCAACAUGGUGAAACCCUGUCUCUACUAAAAACACAAAAAUUAGCCAGACUUGCUGGCGUGCAUCUGUAAUCCCAGCUACACAGGAGGCUGAGGCAGGAGAAUUGCUUGAAUUUGGGAGGUGGAGGUUGCAGUGAGCUGAGAUCAUGCCACUGCACUCCAGCCUGGGAGACAGGGCGAGACUCUGUCUCACACACAAAAAAGGGAGUCCCAAUUCACUGGGAAAUCCUGUCUCUAUAAAAAAUCCAAAAUAUUAGCCAGGCAUGGUGUCGUGUUCCCAUGGCCCCAGCACUCAAGAGGCUGAGGUGAGAAGAUUGCUGGAACCUGGGAAGUCAGGGUGCAGUGAGCCCUGAUCGCGCCACUGCACUGCAGCCUGGACGGCAGAGUGAGCCCCUGUCUCCAGUGAGCCCUGAUCGUGCCACUGCAUUGCAGCCUGGACGGCAGAGUGAGCCCAUCUCCAGUGAGCCCUGAUCGUGCCACUGCACUGCAGCCUGGACGGCAGAGUGAGCCCAUCUCCAGUGAGCCCUGAUCGUGCCACUGCACUGCAGCCUGGACGGCAGAGUGAGCCCAUCUCCAGUGAGCCCUGAUCGUGCCACUGCAUUGCAGCCUGGACGGCAGAGUGAGCCCAUCUCCAGUGAGCCCUGAUCGUGCCACUGCACUGCAGCCUGGACGGCAGAGUGAGCCCGUCUCCAGUGAGCCCUGAUCGUGCCACUGCACUGCAGCCUGGAUGGCAGAGUGAGCCCGUCUCCAAUGAGCCCUGAUUGCACCACUGCACUGCAGCCUGGACGGCAGAGUGAGCCCGUCUCCAAUGAGCCCUGAUUGCACCACUGCACUGCAGCCUGGACGGCAGAGUGAGCCUGUCUCCAGUGAGCCCUGAUCGCGUCACUGCACUGCAGCCUGGACGGCAGAGUGAGCCCAUCUCCAGUGAGCCCUGAUCGCGCCACUGCAUUGCAGCCUGGACGGCAGAGUGAGCCUGUUUCAAAAAAAAAAAGAAAGAAAGAAAGAAAAGAAAGGCUCAGUUCAGUGGGUAUGUGUGACAUGUCCAAGGUCAUAGGGGAACAGAAAUGUAAACCCGGAUGUGUCUGGCCCCACAGGAGGAGAACAAGUAGAGGGUGUGAGGGGGUGGCUGGCAGGCACCGGAGGCGAGGCCAGGUGUGCAGACGGGGCUUCCCGCAGAUGGGAGCCUCGACUGGUUUUCCCACAGGACAAAUGCAAGCUCUUUGGCAUAUUUUAGGGAACUCAUUUGACUUCCACGUCCAGAGUAGAGUCUGGAGCAGGAAGGUGAGACAGAGGCUGGGCCCUGGGCCCUCGGGGAGCCCUCACAGCAGAGGGGUAUGCUGAAGACUCUUGAGCCAAAAGCUGGACUUCCGUGGGCGGGGAAGAGUGGGAAGAGCAUUUCUGGCAGAAGAAACUGUGUGCAAAGGCGUGGGGGGAGCUAGGUGCACAUGGGGGCUGUUCGUGGUGUGAUGGAAGGUCCCUGUCAGCAGUGGAGGAGGAGGAAGCUGGGAGGCCAGGCGGGCCCAGAGUGGAGAGCCUCGAACGCCUUGGGUCUCCUGGCCUCGCUCCUGAGGGCCCCUGUCCUUUCCAGGCUGGGGUGCGUGCCCUGAGGUGCACGGGAAGGACACCCCACAGCAGUGGAGGGGCGGAUUGCUCAGGACAGGGAGAAGCACAGCCAGGCGAAAGGUGAAAAGGGGAGCCCGCUCUCUCCAAGUGGCUCCUGUUCAGUGGGGACCAAGGCCAUGAGAAUAUGCUGGGUGAGGAGCCGGUGCGAUGCUCAGUGUGUGUGGGGAGCCGGGGAACUGGGCGGGUAGGCAGGCUAAGGGUAGGCCUUUAUGCAAGCUUGUUCCCCAUGAACACUCCUACCCUCCCACGCUGUCUUCGACCAUGUGAGUGGGACCAGAGGUGACCAGCUGGAGAGGCCCUCACUCUUCCCUGCGAAGUCCAUGGGGGGCUGGGGACCUGCAGCGCCCAGCAUGCCAAGGUCCAGGGCACAGCUCAAGUCCCGGCUUCUCCUGAGCAUGGCGAUGGGUGAAAGACCCUUUCCCUUGGGCUUGCAAAGUCACCCGCUGGAUUUCAGAUGCAGGGUGUGGUGACAGUGUCCACAUCCCAGCUCUCCCCUGCCAGGGGUGACAGUGUGACGGCACCUGUGCCGGUGGCACAUCUUCCCCACUGGCCCCUCUGUGUGGCUCAGAUGGCCCUCAGCACAGUUGACCUUGUCUGAGAACCAUCAGUUCACAUGUCCUUGUCCUAUUUGUCCCCCUGAGGGCAGGCUCAGUCCUGGGCACACCCUCUUUCCUUAUCACUUCUUCCAGGAAGCUCCAUUUUGUAGAUGGGAAAACCGAGUCUCAGAGAGGUGUGUUUAAAUAUUACAGACAGUGAAAGGCAGAGCUGGGGCCAGCACACACCUGCUGACAAAGUAGGAGAACUUGUCAUUUAGGAAUGUGGGCUCUGAAUUUAGGCCACCUGGGCUCAUGCCCCACAGCCAGCCCCAGCCAGCCACCCAGCUGCAAACCCUCUUCUUGCAUCUAAGUAGAGGGCGGUGCUCAUGCCUGCCCAGCAGGGGCAGGUGAGCAGAUCUGGAAGCCUGAGAGGAUGUCUGCUGCGUCAGAAAUGCUCAGCACCUGUGGUUAUCAGCAGCACCUGAGUCCGAAGCUGCCUACCUCAAAGGCAAGAUAUCUCAUUGUGCACGUUCAGCCAGCACUCAUUCCCACCAAAUUUCCACCCAAAUCUGUAUCCACUUGCUAAGGCUGCUGUAUUAGUGCAUGCUCACGCUGCUAUGAAGAAAUACCUGAGACUGGGUAAUUUAUAAAGGAAAGAGGUGGUUUUUUUCUUUUUUUUUUGAGUCGGAGUCUCGUUUUGUCACCCAGGCUGGAGUGCAGUGGCUUCAUCUCAGCUCACUACAACCUCUGCCUCCUGGGUUCAAGCAAUUCUCCUGCUUCAGCCUCCCAAGUAGCUGGGAUUACAGGCACCGACCACCAUGCCCAGCUAAUUUUUUUUUUUUUAAGUAGAGAUGGGGUUUAGUCAUGUUGGCCAGGUUGAUCUUGAACUCCUGACCUCAGGUGAUCUGCCAGCCUUGGCCUACCAAAGUGCUAGGAUUACAGCUGUGAGCCACUGCACCUGGCCAAGGAAAGAGGUUUCAUUGACUCACAGUGAAGGCCUCAGGAAACUUACAAUCAUGGCGGAAGGGGAAGGGAAAGCAAGGCACCUUCUUGACGGGGCGGCAGGAAAAAUCCCAAGCAAAGGGAAAAAAGCCCUUUAUAAAAGCAUCAGAUCUUGCGAGAAUGCAAUCGCUAUCAUGAGAACAGCAUGGGGAAAAUCCCCGAUUGAUUCACUUACCUCCCACUGGGUCCCUCCAUGAAAUAUGGGGAUUAUGGGAAGUACUAUUCAAGAUGAGGUUUGGGUGGGGACACAGCCAGACCACAUCAGCUGCCAUCACACAGUAGUGAACACUGGGCAGUGUAACAACAGAUGGUCAUUGUCCUGCAGUUCUGAAGGCUGGGGCUCUGAGACGUAGGGUGCAGCAGGCUGGCGCUGUCCUGCUCUGUCCCAGGCCUGUCUCCAGGCUUCUGGUGAUCUGUGACAUCACUUGGCUUAAUUUCUGCCUUUUAUCAUCGUGUGGUGCUCUCCCAGGAGGCUGUCUGUGUCCAGACUUCCCCUUUCAUAAGGACACAGUGUCCAUUCAGGACCCACCUCAUGACUUCAUCUUUUUUUUUUCUUUUCUUCCUUUUUUGUUUUUGUUUUGAGAUGGAGUCUUGCUCUGUCGCCCAGGCUGGAGUGCAAUGGUGUGAUCUCGGCUCACUGCAAGCUCUGCCUCCUGGGUUCAAGCAAUUCUCCUGCCUCGGCCUCCCAAGUAGCUGGGAUUACAGGUGCCCACCAACAUGCUCAGCUAAUUUUUGUAUUUUUAGUAGCUGAGGAGUUUCACCAUGUUGGCCAGGGUGGUCUCCAACUCCUGACCUCUUGAUCCACCCACCUCGGCCUCCCAAAAUGCUGGGAUCACAGGCGUGAUCCAUUGUGUCAGCGACCUCAUCUUAACCUGGUCAGCUCCAAGGACUCUACUGAGUCUUUGCCCAUGAACACUCAUGGUCCAGGGGGGAGAAUGAGACGAGGCAGAGGCAGGUGCAAGACGGGGCAGUGUGUGCCCUGAAAGAGGGGGUGCAGGGUCCCAAGCACAGGAGCGUUCUGGGCCGCAGUGGCCUGGCACACAGUAGGUGCUCCCUGCCUUUUUGCUGGCAGAGGAGUGAAUGAGAAGAGAUCAGAAGAAGACCUGGGGCCAUUCUGCUGGGCUCUGAGGAGCAUGGACACUGCUUAAAGACACAGGAAAGCAUUUCUUGCCCUCAGGCUCCAGUGCCUUGGGUGUUGAAAGAUCAAAUUCUUGGAAUUCAUCUCCUCUGUCUACUUGGGCUGUCCCUUCAUCAAGCAUGGAGACCUGGGGAGAGGCUGUUAGAGCCUGGAGGGGCUGAGCCGGCCUCAUGUGCAGCUUGGAUUCCAGAUGCUGCCAAAACCGGCUUGAUGUGUGUUUGUUCUCAGCAUAGAAUCUUUCCAUCAUCCACCUGUCCUUGUCUCGAAACUGGAGGGGGAGUCCCUUUGAAACUGAUGUCUGGUUUUCCACAGCCAUACAAUUAAUAGUUACUGGUGUGCAGAGUCAGCAUCCUGCAGAGGUAAAGCUUUCCCCGUGGCCCAAAGCUGGGCACAUGCGGAGACACUGGGGUUGCUGUUCCCCUCUCCCUGCACCGGCCGCUCCAUUUCGCAUUCUGUUGAAGCUGGUGUAUUGGUGGUUUUAUGGGGCAGGGGUCCCAUGAUGGGACCACAUGGAUUUCUUCAGUAGGUUCAGUGGCUAGAGCAGGGUUCUGCCUUCCUGUGCGAUCCUGGAAAGUCACUUUCCCUUCCUCUCGGAGCCUCAGUUUCCUCGUGUACUGAGUUUCAGGCUUAGGUGAUUUGUUAGAUUUGAAGCCUGGGACUUGGAUGAAUUUCACUGCUGUUGUGAAGGGCAUGAACAACUUAUAAACUGCUCUUGUCGAUAACGUGGUCACAAACUGUCAUCUUGGGGUAAGCAUGGUGCCGAGAUGAGGCUGAGCCUCAGCAGGGGGAGGAGUGGACCGUGUGUCCACUCUCUCAUAUCCAGCAAGGUCCCCUCUGUCCCGCCCAGCACAGGCAGGAGACAGAGGCUGGUCAGGCGAGCCCAUCUCCACCUCUCCCUUCCUCUAGUCCUCAUUCUCUGAUGGCCCCUCAAAACACAGCACAAAUAAAAUGGCAACACUUGAACUCCAGCCAAUGUCAAGUUCAACUGGCUCCUUUUGGCCUUGGCCAGAGAGACCUGCUCGAUGUCUAAUCUUGGAAGACCAAAUCACUCUCCCAGCAUUAUCCCUGCUCAACUGGCAUCCCUGAAAGUCAGUCUUUAUCAGCAGCUCAAGGGUGUGGAUGAUUUUUUUCUCAGCUCCAUCCUUGGGCAAAUCUUUGCUGUUUGUUGAGCAAAUGGAUGAAUAUUUAUUCUGGGGCAGAAUGGCUAUGAGCUGAGCCUCUCCAUGCUGCUAAUGUUGACACCGGCCAGAUCAUCUGCUUUAUCCAUAAGCAGAGUCACUGGGCUUUGGGUGGAGGAUGAAAUGUUAGAUGGACAAGCAGGGCCCUGGCGAUGAGGAAACAGGCCCGAAAGUGAGGCAGAUUGCUCAAGGUCACACAGUCACCUUGUGUAGCAGAUGGGGUCCCACCUCUCGGUCCAGAACACCUGCGCCUUGUGACCAUCUAUCACAGGCCCUCAAGCACGUCUGCUGGGGUUCGAGGUUUGUAGGUCUCCUAAGAGAAGCCUCUUGCCCAAUGGGUAGGCACAAAACCAGCACAUCCACUGAAGGCUCCUCACGUCCAUGGCCCAAGACGUCUGGCCCUCAGGAACCUUGGAGGCCACACAGAUGCCAUGGGAGGGAUAACCCGGAGUGGCUCAGGAUACUUUUUAGGAAACCAGGGCCACAAGCAUCGUGGGAUGGGCAUGGAUAGAGCGUGCUCCAGCAACGUGGUCUCAUUCAAGAGCUGAGAACCAAGGGGAUAAGGCAUUUUGGUCCAGGCAGAGGAGAGGGGAGAGGGGAGA